GUCUGCUUUUAAGACACAUGAAAAAGUAGAAAAAAGCACCAUAUAGAGACACCUCCAUCACACCAACUGGACAGCCCAUCUGAAAUUUCUUCACCUGUCUGCUCUCUCUAAAUAUCCACCAGUUAGGGAGGAAAGUGGUCUGAAAUUGAACCUGCAGUAUCUUCAAGGAAUGGGUUUCACAAUCCAGAUUGACAAAAGAUGAAUAUUUUUGCUUUUCUCUACAACUCGGAGAAGAAGCUAAUCGUGAAGCCAAAUGAGAACCUGACUUAAUGAUUUUUGGGGAAGAAUAUUUGAGUGUGAAUCUGGUUAGUGCCUACUUAAUGCAAUGAGGACACAUGAAUAAAACUGCCCUCAACAUGAAAAAAAAAAUGAAGUAAAAGAACUGAAGAACCCACACCAAAAGUAAAACCAAUGCAGUAUUUUGCCUCUCUAUGCUAAGGCCCAGAAAACACCCACGUUUGUAGGGUUGAAAGUAUAAACCACACCCAUGUAUAAGUCUGCAUGUGUGUACUUAAGUACACAAGAAAGCAUAAACCCCCCACAACCUAAUUUUUUCAUCAUGUUGUUCUGCAACAGACAGUAUGAAUUUGGAUAACCUAUUCUUGAUUGGGUUUAUAACUAAGCUUUAAGGUUUAUUACAGACAUGGGGGAGGGAAUGGAUGGGUAAUGAGUGCCACAGAGUACUUCUCACUGUGCACAAUAUAUAAUUCUUCAUGUUUUAAAAUUAUAUCUUCAAACUUAAGUGCAAAGAUCCCUAAUAUUAGUGCUCAAGGUAUAUGACAAAAUAUACUGCCAGUUAGUGCAAAGUACUAUAAAGAAAAAAUAAAACAGGCUAAGUGGACAGUGAAUGAUAAAGGGUACUACUCUAGAAAGCGUGGCAAAAAAGGCCCAGUUGGUGUGAUGGUAUUCUGACAGUGACCUACACCAGACAACUAUCAGCAGGAAGGAUAAUCCAGGCAGAGGGAAUAGAACAAAUCCCCUGGGACAGGCAGGUGUAUUGCAAGUUCAAGGAA